CAAGUCGAGCGAAUUUCAGCAGCGUAUCGCUGAAGUUAGCGGCAGACGGGUGAGUAAUACUUGGGCAAUCUGCCCUUGAGUGGGAAAUAACCUGCCGAAAGGCGGGCUAAUGUCCCAUAAGACCACGGGAUGGCAUCAUCCAGGGGUCAAAGCUCCGUAAGGGGCGCUUGAGGAGGAGCCCGAGUCCUAUCAUGGUAGUUGGUGAGGUAAUGGCUCACCAAGCCUUUGACGGGUAGCCGGCCUGAAAGGGUGAUCGGCCACACUGGCACUGAGACACGGGCCAGACUCCUACGGGAGGCAGCAGUGGGGAAUUUUGGACAAUGGGGGCAACCCUGAUCCAGCGACGCCGCGUGAAGGAUGAAGGUCUUCGGAUUGUAAACUUCUUUUGAUGGGGAGGAAUGUCCUGGUGAAUAGCCAGGAGUGACAGUACCCAUUGAAUAAGCCACGGCUAACUACGUGCCAGCAGCCGCGGUAAUACGUAGGUGGCAAGCGUUACUCGGAAUCACUAGGCGUAAAGCGCAGGUAGGCGGUUCGGUAAGUCUCUUGUGAAAGCUCCCGGCUUAACUGGGAGAGGUCAAGGGAAACUACCGGGCUAGAGUGUGGUAGGGGAUACUGGAAUUCCUGGUGUAGCGGUGAAAUGCGUAGAUAUCAGGAGGAAUACCUAUGGCGAAAGCAGGUAUCUGGGCCAUCACUGACGCUGAGCUGCGAAAGCUAGGGGAGCAAACAGGAUUAGAUACCCUGGUAGUCCUAGCCCUAAACGAUGCUCAUUAGAUGUGGGAGGUAUCGACCCCUUCCGCGUCGCAGCUAACGCAUUAAAUGAGCCGCCUGGGGAGUACGGCCGCAAGGUUGAAACUCAAAGGAAUUGACGGG
rnacentral:rRNA from 1 species